rnacentral:rRNA from 1 species
AGCAGUCGCCGCGGUAAUACGAGGGGGGCUAGCGUUGUUCGGAAUUACUGGGCGUAAAGCGCACGUAGGCGGAUUUUUAAGUCAGGGGUGAAAUCCCGAGGCUCAACCUCGGAACUGCCUUUGAUACUGGAGAUCUUGAGUUCGGAAGAGGUUGGUGGAACAGCUAGUGUAGAGGUGAAAUUCGUAGAUAUUAGCUAGAACACCAGUGGCGAAGGCGGCCAACUGGUCCGAUACUGACGCUGAGGUGCGAAAGCGUGGGGAGCAAACAGGAUUAGAUACCCCCGUAGUCCCUGUCUCUUAUAC